AACGAACGCUGGCGGCAGGCCUAACACAUGCAAGUCGAGCGAGGACUUCGGUCCUAGCGGCGGACGGGUGAGUAACGCGUGGGAACGUGCCUUUUGCUUCGGAAUAGCCCUGGGAAACUGGGAGUAAUACCGGAUGAGCCCUUUGGGGGAAAGAUUUAUCGGCGAAGGAUCGGCCCGCGUUGGAUUAGGUAGUUGGUGGGGUAAUGGCCUACCAAGCCGACGAUCCAUAGCUGGUUUGAGAGGAUAAUCAGCCACACUGGGACUGAGACACGGCCCAGACUCCUACGGGAGGCAGCAGUGGGGAAUCUUAGACAAUGGGGGAAACCCUGAUCUAGCCAUGCCGCGUGAGCGAUGAAGGCCUUAGGGUUGUAAAGCUCUUUCAGCUGGGAAGAUAAUGACGGUACCAGCAGAAGAAGCCCCGGCUAACUCCGUG
rnacentral:rRNA from 1 species